UUCUUCUUUUGUUCUAACAACUGAGUACAGUAAUCAAUCUUGUUCUUUGAUGUCAAGUACUUGUUAAAAUAAAAAGACAGAAACUGCUAAUACCAACGGUGCAACAAAAUUGUUUAUAGUAUUACUCUGAGAGUUUCAGUAAAAAGACAGAAACUGCUAAUACUAACGGUGCAACAAAAUUGUUUAUAUUAAUACUCUGAGAGGUUCAGGUACUUCUUUUAUUUUAGUUUUUAUUGUAUCUCAUCAUGUGGUUGUAUUUAUGUGUAUUCGUAACUCAAUUUUUUCAAAAAAUUAUGAAUCAAAACAAAAAUAUGCUAGUUUGGAUUCUAAUAAGAUAUUAGAUAGUUAUAUAAACUUUUUAUUUUUGUUAUGCAUAUUCUCAUUUUGUUCAGAAAUUAAAAAAAAAUAACUUAAGUAAAACUCAUGAAUCAAAAGUGCGACACUUUAUGAGCAAUUCUCAUUUUAAUUGUAAUAAUGUACAGUGAGCCAGAGAUUAGCAUAAAUGCUGAAAACGAGUAUUUGUGAAAAUUUUUUUUUUUGCAAAAUUUUAUUGCAAAAAGUAAAUACCCCACAAUAAAAAAAUUUGUUGUUUAAAUCUUUUGAUUUUUGUUUUUAGAGUCCUGCAAAAGUUUUUAUGCUUGUUCAUUUAAAAAACUUUUUUUUUAAAAAAAAAAAAAGAAAGAGAAAGUACUUAUAAAAUGAACUUUACCUCCUUAGCGCAGUUUUUUUAAAUUAACUAAAAUUCUCAAUAUACAUGUUUUAUUUUAAAAAACUUGGUACAUGCUUUAUUUUAGAAAACUUAAUAAAUGAAAUACAAUGAAAGGUACCAUAAAUGGCUCAAGAUCUUUUUUCAAUGGGAUUAACUUUUUUACAGUGUCUUAUAAUUGUAUAAGAUUUUUUAUGAGAAAUAUCUUGCGCAAAGUUGCGCCAAUUAAAAUUUAGCGGGUUUUAAACGUACAACACGUUUGUCAUUUUUAAAUUGUUCAAAGCACAUUGUUGUUAAGUAUAAACUCUAAAUAUUUAUUUGCAAUUACGGAAAGUGCAAAAAACAAUAAAAUUUAAUGCUCUUCCACUUUAUUAAGUAACGUGGGUUUUUUUAUUUAUAAACAUAAACUUAAUUUAGUUAAUUAUCAAUUAUAUUUUUAACAAUGUAAAAUACGUAUACUAUUUAAAAACAUUAAAAAACUAUAAUUAUAUUUUUAAAUUGAAAUUUUUUUUUACCAAUCAUUGUGAAAAAUACAGAAAUUACUCAAAAAAUAUUUCUUGUUUUGGAAAACAACUUAAUCAAAUCAGUUACCGACCCUAAUGCUUGCAAAGUUACAGGGAUCUCUAACAUAGACUUCAAAUUAUUUUUUAAACAGUUUAACAAAAAAUGUAAUAACGUAAACAGAAACAAGGAUAGAUUUGAAUUGCAUUACAAAAUCUGGUAAGAAAAAGAACUACAAACAAAUGAUGUUUGUUUUAAAACAGAUAAAUUAGAAAAACUCGGUCAUAGAGUUAUCUAAUGUAAAAGUUUUCAAUCUUAUUACUAAUUAAGCUAACGAAGCAAAAUAUUUUACUAAAUAAAAUAAAACACUGAUUCAAAACCCUAAUCCUAACCCUAACCCUGAUUAGAAAUGUGGAUUGGUUCACGCACAGUAAAAUUCUUUUUAACGAAUUCAAAACACUCAAUGUAUUUUAACUUAAUCUAUUUCAUCUGGCUUUCAUCGUGAAUGACGCAUUUUUUAAAUAAAGGUAUUUUUAAAAACUGAAAAAAAAGAAGAAAUUUAUUGUUAAUUAAAAGUAACCAUCUGAAAAUACUCAACACAUAAUUUAUUAAAUGGCAAGCAAAAAAGAAAUUGAAAAUAUAUUAAAGGAAACGUUUAAAGCGCAAGAGUAUUUGCCUUUAAAGAUAGUAUUAUAAAAUCCUUCGAAACAAAAUGACAAAAUGGAAAAAAUUCUACAUUCAAUAGAAAAUAUAACAAACCGUACUUCAGAAGUCGAAAAAAAGCAACAAGGUUUACAGCAAUGUAUUGACAAUUUACAAAAACGUAUCGAGUUUACUCAAGAUACCUUAAUUAAUGAGAAAAUCGUAAACAUCGAAAAACAACUUAAGAAGCUAAUUAAUGCGAAAAUUACGACAGUUUUAAAUCAAACAGUACAGUUAAAAACAAUGUUGAACGAAGCAAGCAAAAUAAAUUAUGCGUCUAAAGAAAAAAUUAGAAAACUAGAAGAUAGGAAUAGAAGAAACAAUAUUAGAAUUAAUGGUGCACAAGAAAAUGAAUAAGAAACUAGAAAAACUGAAAAAAGUUCAACUUAUAAUUAAUGAUCAGUUAAAAAUAAGUAACAUAAUUAUUGGACGAGCGCACCGUAUUGAAAAAAGCUUUAACGUAGAGAAAAUAAAGAACCCAGAACAAUCAUAACUAAAUUGCUAAAUUAUAUUAACGAAGAAGAACUUUUUGGAGAACAAAAAGAUGCUAAAAGGUACAUAUAUUUUUAUUAACGAAAUUUUUUUAUUUAAAACUAACAAAAUAAGAUGCAAGUUAAGUGAAAAGAUGAAGAUCGAGCGUAACGCUCAAAAAUGUGUCGUUAUGAGUACGAUAAGUUAAUAGUGAGAGAGUUUAAUCUAAAAGAUAAAGAAGGAAUUUUAUUUUUUAUUUAAAACCAUGUAUAAAAACGUUAGUGAUAAAAGUAAUAGUGAUAAUGACACUGAAACAAACUGUUUUAACAAACUAAUUUUUGAAAGUAAAUACUAGAAGAAGGCAUAAAUAAGAUUUUUUUUCCGAGCCCCACUAGUAGCGCACAUAAAUAAUAUAUAAGCAAGAGUAUUUAAAAAAAAAAGGACAAUUUUAGAAUGUUAAGAAAUAGUUUUUCUUAACUCAGUUUGUUAAUCUGCAGAAUAUCUUAAAAAUAAUAAAAACGCAUCUUCAAUUUUAAUUAUAAAAAUCCGUUGUCUAAAUAAAAACUUUGAAAAUUAAAAAAAUUUUAUUGCAUGAAAUAAAAAAUGAUUUUAGCAUUAUUUGUCCAAGAAAAACGUGGUGUAAAUGCGAUGAACAAAGUUUACAGUUUGACUUAAUUAAUUACACGUUAGCUCAUUAACCACGUGAUAGUAACGUGGCGGAGGCGUUAGUAUUUUUGUCUACAAUUCGAUUUUUUUCCUCCUGAUGAUUUAUGCGUCAACAAAACAGUUUGUGAGUCUUUGUGAAUUGAACUUUUUAAUAAAACCACAAAAAACAUAAUUGUUAAUUUUCUUUAUAGAAAACAAUUUGGUAGCUUAAAAAAGUUUAAAACUCACUUAAACACAUUUCUAACUAAUGUCAAUAAAAAACGAAAGCGCUUUGAUCACGCUUUGACCGAGUUAGUAACUCAUGUAACCAAUGCCUUCAAUGAUGACCGUUUUACAAUAAGAGUCAUCAUUGAAGGAGUUUAUUAAUCUGUCUAAAGCCUUCGACAAAGUCAACCAUGUCAUUCUUUUAAAGAAACUUGAACAUUAUGAAAUAAAAAACAAUAAUUUACUAUGGUUUAAAGAACACUUAUCAAAUAGAAAGCAAAACACUCAAUAUGGAAAUGUUAAAACAAAAAAAAAAUUAAUAAAAUGAGAUGUUCCUUAGUGCUCAAUCAUAGGACCGUUGCUGUUUUCUCUUUAUAUAAAUGAUCUGUUUCUUACCCCAAAUUUAUUAAAUUUUAUUUUGUUUGCGAAGACUCCAACAUGUUUUAUUCUCAUAGUGAUAUUAAAACCCUCUUGAAAGUAGAUAAUGAAGAAGUAAGCAAAGUAAACGAAUGGUUUAUUUGUAAUAAACUUUCACUUAACGUUAACAAAACUUUGUUCUAUUUUACAAACCAACCAAAAUAGAAAACCUUCCUUUUACCCAUCUUAAAAUUAAUGGUAUAAAUAUUACUAGAUGAAUAACUGUAAACUUCUGUUUAAAGUGUUAUUUUAGAUGAAAAUUUAUCAUUGAGGAAACAAACAAGCACUCUUGAAAGAAAACUUUCAGUAUAAGGUCUUUAAAAAGUUUAUGUUUUUCCUUUAUGUAUAGCUACAUAACUUACGGCAAUAUUGUAUGGGCAAGAAAAGGCUACUGCUGAGCCACUUCUACAUAAACUCAAUGCAUUAUAUGUGUUUAAAAUCAACAUAAUCCUCCUCAUACAGUUCAAGUAUAAAGUAAAGCAUGAACUGUCUCCAACAAUAUUCUAUCCUUAUUUUAGAGAAGUUAGUCAUAAAUACCCCACCAAGUUCUCAGAAAAUAAUUUUGUUACUCAAAAACAAAGCUAAAGUUAUGCUCUUAUUCUAUUCAGUACCGGGGACCAAUUUUGUGGACAAACGUUCUGCAUAUUUUUAAUAUUAAAAAAAAACAUUUCCGCAAUUCAAAUCUAAAUUAAGACAUCAUUUAAAACUAGCAGAUUUUCUCUGUCACUUUUACAAGUUAUUAAAUUAAAUUAUAACCAUAAUUGAAAAAUCUAGAGCAUUUAACAAAAGAGAAAAGUCAAUAUUAAGAGUUUUAAUAUCUUCAUACUUUCAUUGAAAAUAUUUACUUAUUUGAAGUUACCUACAACUUAUAUUUUAUAAUAUUGG